rnacentral:rRNA from 1 species
AACGAACGCUGGCGGCAGACUUAACACAUGCAAGUCGAACGGCUGUAGCAAUACAGCAGUGGCAGACGGGUGAGUAACGCGUGGGAACCUUCCUAGGGGUACGGAACAACUCAGGGAAACUUGAGCUAAUACCGUAUGCGUCCGAAAGGAGAAAGAUUUAUCGCCCUUAGACGGGCCCGCGUCGGAUUAGCUAGUUGGUGGGGUAACGGCCUACCAAGGCGACGAUCCGUAGCUGAUCUGAGAGGAUGAUCAGCCACACUGGGACUGAGACACGGCCCAGACUCCUACGGGAGGCAGCAGUGGGGAAUCUUGGACAAUGGGCGCAAGCCUGAUCCAGCCAUGCCGCGUGAGUGAAGAAGGCCUUAGGGUUGUAAAGCUCUUUUGGCAGGGACGAUAAUGACGGUACCUGCAGAAUAAGCCCCGGCAAACUUCGUGCCAGCCGCCGCCGUAAAAC